rnacentral:rRNA from 1 species
GAUGAACGCUGGCGGCGUGCCUAAUACAUGCAAGUCGAGCGAACAGAUGAGGAGCUUGCUCCUCUGACGUUAGCGGCGGACGGGUGAGUAACACGUGGAUAACCUACCUAUAAGACUGGGAUAACUUCGGGACACCGGAGCUAAUACCGGAUAAUAUAUUGAACCGCAUGGUUCAAUAGUGAAAGACGGUUUUGCUGUCUCUUAUAGAUGGAUCCGCGCCGCAUUAGCUAGUUGGUACGGUAACGGCUUACCAAGGCGACGAUGCGUAGCCGGCCUGAGAGGGUGAUCGGCCACACGGGAACUGGGACACGGUCCAGACUCCUACGGGAGGCAGCAGUAGGGAAUCUUCCGCAAUGGGCGAAAGCCUGACGGAGCAACGCCGCGUGAGUGAUGAAGGUCUUCGGAUCGUAAAACUCUGUUAUUAGGGAAGAACAAAUGUGUAAGUAACUAUGCACGUCUUGACGGUACCUAAUCAGAAAGCCACGGCUAACUACGUG